AAAUAACCAAUAAAAAUAUUAAUAAUUUAAUGCUGAUUUUAAAGCAAAACUUGUCAUGCAGUUUAAAUUACAUAAAAAGUUGGAUUUGUUAUACUAAAAAUAAAGGAUUUUCUAUAAUUACUUUUAUUAAUGAGAAAUAUGAGCUUUGGUAAAGUUUCUUGCAUGGAAAUAUGUUGACCUUUCCAGACAACACGCAUGUCUAAAAGACUUUUUUAAAACGUCUUAAAAGAGGCGUCUUUGAGACUUUACCAAAUGACGUCUUUAUGAGGUCUUAAAAUUCUUUUAUUUUAGACGUCUCUCUUAAAACGUCUAAAAUACGUCUUUUUUAAAGACAUCUUAUUUGAGACGCCAUUUAGACUUCUUCAAAACUUUAAUAAAAGACGUCUUUACGACGUCGAAUGACGCACAUAAUCAAGUCUGCCGUGUGAUGUGAUCAAGUCGAUCGAUGUGCUUAUCCCGUAUCAAUUUUUUGAACCCUCGCACGUAUCGCGUGUGUGUAGGAACGUUUUGUCCCGGUUUGCUGUGUAACGCAGCGGAGUGUGGAUGCGUUAAAGUAGUUAUAUUAGGCGGGUUCUAACUCAAACAAUAAAAUGGGGAAAGGGAGGAGGGGAAAGGGGGGUAAUUACCUGUCACAUAAAUUUCAAAAUUCUUUUGUUCUUAUUGUUUUUUAUAACAAAUGACCUUAUCAUAAAUUUCAAAAUUUCCUUUGGUUAUUGUUCUUUAUAACAAAUGACCCUGUAAUUAAUUUUAAAAUUCUUUUGUUCAUUGUUUCCCUAUGUUCGGAAUUCAGUAUGUAGUGAGCUCGCGCCGUCACGUCAGAUGGCAGCAGCUAUCGAUCAUCGUCCGCGUAGAUCACGGAGCGCCGCGGCAUGCGUGCUAGCGCGUGCGUAACGCCAAAAAUCACUUUGGUACUUGUGCUCUAUAGCGGCGGUUCACGUUGUAUUUCGUGCGAUUGUUUUAACGUAGUUUUGUGCUCAAGUCUAUUCGUGGGAUCUUCAAAUAUCUACUCAGAGAUUGCUCAACGGAAGAACUCAUUCAGGAAUUAAGAGAGACUCAUAAUUAUCGCUCAGGUACAUCACCAUCGAGAGACUCACGCUCACCACACAACGAGCACGCUGGCGCCGCGUGAUACCGGCUCACAGGCAUCAUCAUCACGACCGAAUAAAGAAAUAGUGUGGAGAGAGAAAGAAGAAUCCCUUUCUUUUUGUACGUCGUUUAAAACAAGGUUAAAGAAAAAGAAAGAGAGAAAAGAAUAAAAGAAAGAAAGAAAAAGGAAUUUAACGGGAUUCUCUUUUUCUUCGUUAGCCUCUUAUCAGAGCGUAGUAAUUCCUUAGCGUAUUUCUGUGGUGCUUCUAUUAUAUCGGUCAGAUUUGAACUCGGAUCUUCAACGUAGAAAGUAGACGCACAUCUCUCUGCGUCACAAUCGCUAUCACACCCGGAUUAAGGAGGAGGGGCUAAGAGAAACUAUAGCCCGGGCCUCGUUUGUUAGAGGGCCUUAUCCGAGCUAUUCAAGAAUAUCUUUCAUUUUCGUCAAAAGGCCUCCAGUUGGAGUUAAUAGCCUCGGGCCUCAAAAUACUUUAAUCCGAUCCUGAUCGUUAUAUGUAAUAUAUAAUAUAAUCGCCCGAAAUUUUCUUUAUAUUCAUUAAUAUAUAAGUGAGGAAUUCAAUUAGAUUAAUUUGUUUUUCAAAUAUUUUUUAAUAUAAUUGUAUUUAUUGUU
rnacentral:lncRNA from 1 species